UGAAAAAAGGAAAAGAAAAGGUAAUUAACUAAUUGCUGUACACCAUGGGGAGUGAAUUUGGUUUGGCUAAUCUGAGGAGCGUUCAAAGUGGAGGGAGGGAGAUGAAGAGGCAAGGAGGCGGGAAUAACACAAAAACUCCCUCUCGCUUCUGGCGGUGGAAAAUGGUAGUCCAAUCGCUGGAGGGCGUGGGUUCCGUUCAGAGCUCCAUCGACGUUGCUGCAAACCCACAUUCCGAGGACAAUUCCUCGCCGAAGAAGAGGAGAGUCAGCUCUCGCCUCCAGGUCAAGCAGAAACCCCAAAAGGAACUUCUCGUCCGCCAGAGAGUGGAAUUACUCGAUGACAACGAACAGGGCCCCAGAAAGAAACAAGCAAAUGUCAGGGGUAGGCAAACCGGAGAGGUUGCCGACUCGGAGGAGCUCCCAAAGGCCACUGACUCGGUUGAGAAGAGUGACCGUGUUAGGGUCAAAGAGACCCUCAGGUUGUUCAACAAGCAUUAUCUCUAUUUCGUACAGGAAGAAGAGAAGAGGGCGGUGAAAGCAGAAGCCCAGAAGAAAGCUUCCAGAGCUGCAAAGAGAGGUGCAAAAAAAUCCAAGAAGGGUGAUUUGAAGAAGGCAGAUACAAAGGUGGCAAAACGACCUGAUUUGAAGGCAUUAACCAAGAUGAAUGACGAAAAAGAAAUUUUGUUUCCUUCUAAAAGAUUUGGAAGCAUUCCAGGUAUUGAUGUCGGGCAUCAGUUCUAUUCUCGGGCUGAAAUGGUUGCUGUUGGUUUCCACAGCCACUGGCUGAACGGGAUUGAUUAUAUGGGCCAGUCCUAUAGUAAAGGGAAGUACAGCAACUAUACAAUGCCACUUGCAGUUGCUAUUGUUAUAUCAGGCAUGUAUGAAGAUGAUUUGGACAAUGCUGAGGAAGUUGUGUAUACUGGUCAAGGUGGACAUAAUUUGACAGGUGAUAAGCGUCAAUUUCGAGAUCAAGUUCUAGAACGUGGUAAUUUGGCACUCAAGAAUUGUGUGGAACAAGAUGUACCUGUUAGAGUAGUCCGUGGCCAUGAUUGUAAAAGUAGUUACUGUGGCAAAAUUUACACUUAUGAUGGACUGUACAAGGUUGUGAAGUAUUGGGCAGAGAAGGGUAUUUCUGGAUUUACUGUUUUUAAGUAUCGUCUUAAGCGGCUUGAGGGGCAGCCACUGUUAACCACCAACCAGGUUCAAUUUAUUAAUGGACGUGUACCACAAUCUAUAUCAGAAAUACGCGGGUUGGUGUGCGAGGACAUAACUGGGGGUCUAGAGGAUAUUGCCAUUCCAGCUACCAAUUUGGUCGAUGAUCCGCCUGUUGCUCCUACAGGUUACACGUAUUGCAAGUCUAUUCAAGUUGCAAAAAACGUGAAGCUUCCCACAGAUGCCACUGGAUGCAAUUGCAAAGGAAGUUGUGUAGAUUCCAAGACCUGCGAAUGUGCCAAACUUAACGGCUCUGACUUUCCGUAUGUCCACCGUGAUGGUGGCAGAUUAAUUGAAGCCAAGGAUGUAGUGUUUGAAUGUGGGCCAAAAUGUGGUUGUGGACCUUCUUGUGUCAACCGUACUUCUCAGAGGGGGCUCAAGUACCGAUUUGAGGUUUUCCGAACGCCCAUGAAAGGGUGGGCAGUUAGAUCUUGGGAUUUUAUACCUGCUGGGGCACCAGUUUGUGAGUAUGUAGGAAUACUUCGCAGGACAGAAGAUGUGGAUAGUGCCUCGGAGAAUUAUUACAUUUUUGACAUUGAUUGCUUGCAAACAAUGAAGGGGCUUGAUGGGAGGGAGAGGCGAUCACAAGCUGUAUGCAUACCAACAGUUAAUUCACUGGAGAGGCCUGAUGAUCAUAGAUCUGAUAAUGUGCCAGAGUACUGCAUUGAUGCUGGUUCUAAUGGAAAUAUUGCCAGAUUUAUAAACCACAGUUGUGAGCCUAAUCUGUUUGUUCAGUGUGUCUUGAGUUCACACCAUGACAUCAAACUAGCUCGAGUAAUGCUGUUUGCAGCAGACAACAUACCUCCUUUGCAGGAGCUGACAUAUGACUACGGUUACGCCCUUGAUAGUGUCUUGGGCCCUGAUGGGAAGGUAAAGAAGAUGUUUUGCCACUGUGGUGCAGCAGGUUGCAGGAAACGCUUGUUCUAGUUGAAUUGUUUUGUAGGGGCAGCUGAAACCUCUGCCACAGCAGGACGCCAGGACCAACCCUAUGCAGCUGUCCGCAGUUGACAAAGGAUUCUUCAGAUCUUAGUGCUUCCAGAGCCAAUUGCACUGCUAUAAGGGUUGAACUCAAGCAUGGGAAACUCAAGGGAUUAGGGCCACAAUAGUAAAGAGACGGUCAUACUCGCAUGGAUUACGACAACCAGAUAUGCAAAACUAACGGGUAAACAACGUUAAUUCAAUCAUUGAAAACCUAAACCUGUGAAA